rnacentral:rRNA from 1 species
UACGAAGGGGGCUAGCGUUGCUCGGAAUCACUGGGCGUAAAGCGCACGUAGGCGGCUUCUUAAGUCGGGGGUGAAAUCCUGGAGCUCAACUCCAGAACUGCCUUCGAUACUGAGGAGCUUGAGUCCGGGAGAGGUGAGUGGAACUGCGAGUGUAGAGGUGAAAUUCGUAGAUAUUCGCAAGAACACCAGUGGCGAAGGCGGCUCACUGGCCCGGUACUGACGCUGAGGUGCGAAAGCGUGGGGAGCGAACAGG